rnacentral:rRNA from 1 species
UACGGGAGGCAGCAGUGGGGAAUAUUGCACAAUGGGCGCAAGCCUGAUGCAGCCAUGCCGCGUGUAUGAAGAAGGCCUUCGGGUUGUAAAGUACUUUCAGUCGUGAGGAAGGUGUUAAGGUUAAUAACCUUAGCAAUUGACGUUAGCGACAGAAGAAGCACCGGCUAACUCCGUGCCAGCAGCCGCGGUAAUACGGAGGGUGCGAGCGUUAAUCGGAAUUACUGGGCGUAAAGGGCACGCAGGCGGUUAAUUAAGUUGGAUGUGAAAUCCCCGGGCUUAACCUGGGAAUGGCAUUCAAGACUGGUUAGCUAGAGUCUUGUAGAGGGGGUUAGAAUUCCAUGUGUAGCGGUGAAAUGCGUAGAGAUGUGGAGGAAUACCGGUGGCGAAGGCGGCCCCUGGACAAAGACUGACGCUCAUGUGCGAAAGCGUGGGGAGCAAA